GAUGAACGCUGGCGGCGUGCUUAACACAUGCAAGUCGAACGAAGCACUUUGAUCGAUUUCUUCGGAUUGAAAUUUUAGUGACUGAGUGGCGGACGGGUGAGUAACGCGUGGGUAACCUGCCUCACACAGGGGGAUAACAGUUGGAAACGGCUGCUAAUACCGCAUAAGCGCACAGUACCGCAUGGUACAGUGUGAAAAACUCCGGUGGUGUGAGAUGGACCCGCGUCUGAUUAGCUAGUUGGCAGGGCAACGGCCUACCAAGGCGACGAUCAGUAGCCGACCUGAGAGGGUGACCGGCCACAUUGGGACUGAGACACGGCCCAAACUCCUACGGGAGGCAGCAGUGGGGAAUAUUGCACAAUGGGGGAAACCCUGAUGCAGCGACGCCGCGUGAGCGAAGAAGUAUUUCGGUAUGUAAAGCUCUAUCAGCAGGGAAGAAGAAAUGACGGUACCUGACUAAGAAGCAC
rnacentral:rRNA from 1 species